UCGAUAAAUGAAAAAUGGAAAGCAUAGAAAAUGUUGGGUGUCAAUAACACUAGAAAGUGUUAAAAUAUCGAUUUAAACGUAUUUAAUGUGACAUGGAAUGAUAAAAAAAUUUGGUAACCGAACAUUUGAUUGAUGGGAAACGGUAGAAAAUGCCAUGUCGUUAAAAUAUAGAAAUAAUUAAGUUAUUGAUUGAUCAAUCUUCAUGAGACUUAUAAAAACAAUUAUGAGAAAAUCAAUAAAAAAUGCGUUGAAUUAAUCUUUCAAUAUCUCUAAUUCGCAUUUCGCGGUAAGUCAUAUUUUAUCAUAUUUCAAGAGCAUGAAAAAAACAUAUUUAAUGGCAUUAUAAUAUUGACACGAUUGUCUAUCCAUUCGUCAAUUUAAGGCCGGUUUUAAAAUAGAUAGAGGCUUAAAAAAAUAUGGGUUCUGUGGAGUUUGAGUAAGUUACCAAGAGCGUGUGCCUGUAUAUUAACACCAUUAACACCUCAGCGCGUCAAUCGGUGAGCAGCAAGCCGUGACUCGGCCUCUUCUUGUCAGACCUCCGUGGCGUGCACACGCACCUGGAAGAUCCGCUGGAAAAUGGAUUGUGGAAGACCGCUGGAAAAUGGAUUGUGGUUUGAAAAUCACAAAGCGCGACUGGGAGACUGCCGAGAAAAAGGUUAACGAUCUAGAAUAUCCCAAGCACUUCAUUCGACAAGCAAGCUAGUUCUGCCAAAGCACAUUAGGGGAAGCGUUUUACGAUUCUCUCAAACUUGCUACACGGGAUGCAGACUUCGCAUAACUGUAACUGGAACGACUGAAACGUGCUAUUUCGUAAAAUGUAAAUCAUUUAUCACUACAGUAAUUAAAAUGUCUCAAAAGGAAUUAUGCUAAAUUGAAUAGAAAA